rnacentral:rRNA from 1 species
CGUCUUCGGCGGCUGCGGCGGCGGCGGGCUCGCGGGAGGCAAGAGGAGCGGCUUCGCGGGCGGCGAGGUGGCGGCGUCGGCGGUACCCAUUCCACGUGCCUAGCGACCGAGCGCGGCCUUUCCACGCCCCGGUCUGCGGGUUCCACCGCUUCGUCCUGUUCUUCUUCGUCGGCGCGCCGGCGCGGGUGUUCGCGUAGGUCAUGUUGGCGGCGAAGCAGUGGCGGCAGCAGCCGAAGCCGUUCUUCGCGCCGGGGUUGAGGAGGCUCUUCAUCUAGAUCCAGCAGAGCGCGGUCGGGAGGAAAAAAAAAGCACAAAGGGUCAUCGACACUAGGCAAAUAAGUCAUACGUACGAUUCUUCUUCUGGACUAGAUCAUAGACAUUAACUGACACUACAACCAUUACCUUUAGAGUGACGUAACAGGUCAAUUAUAAACGGUAUACGGAUAAAUAGGAUAUAAUAGU